rnacentral:tRNA from 1 species
GGAGAGGUGGCAGAGUGGUCGAAUGUACCUGACUCGAAAUCAGGCGUACCCCCAGGGUACCGUGGGUUCGAAUCCCACCCUCUCCGCCA